AAUUUGGGGAAUUUAGAUUAGACUUUCAUUGUUCCAGAUCCAGAUCGCAAGUACAGUGCAGCCUCCAGAGUGAGGCUGGUUCACUUCCCAAUUGUUCUCAUUUCAAAGUGAUUCUUUUACUGCACAAGACAUGUUUCAAGUAGCAUGCUCAUACAUGUUUAAAGUGACAUUACUCACCCGUUAUUCUCGAAGCAAAAUAUUGGUUGAAUUCCAAGUCACUUGACUUUCCAGGUCUAUUUUCGACAAACUAUUGGUUGGAUUCCAAAUUGUUUGGAAUUUGAGGCAUAUGUAUCCUGAAAAUAUUAGUAGAAUUACAAAUGCUUUGAAAUUUGAGAUUUUUUUUACCACAGACAAUUUAUUGGAUUCCAAGUGGUGGGCCUUCCGAGACAUUUUUUUCCACAAAAUAUACAGGCCUGUUUAUCCACAACGUAUUGGAUUAAUUCCUUCUUUUUUACUUUUUGAGGCAAAUACAUUUUCCCAAAAAGUUGUGAUUGAAAUCCAAAUGGUUUGACUUUUCAGACAUAUUUUUCCACAGAAUAUUGAUUUCGGUGUGUUUUCCUCAACCUAUUGGGAGAAAUCCAUUUUUUUUUUUUUUUUUUUUAGUGAUUUGAAUUUGGAGGUGUAUUUGUCCACAAAGUAUUGGUUGAAUUCCUCCACAGCCACGGAUCAUAAUUAGGCCUGGCAUUAGUAAGAUAAUGUUAGCAUUUUGGUUGACAAGCUAAUAAUAGUAAGCAGGCCUUCUAUACAGACAAUAGCCACAGUUCUCUUAAAAUAUUAGGAACAUUCUUUAAAGUGGGAACCAUUUAUUUAACAACAAAAAACACUGCAACUCUGAACUGGCACAUUGAUCAUUUCUGACGACAUCACACAUAACAUGUGAUAUCAUACGGAAGCGUAUUGCAUUCACUUGGAUAAAAAAAACAAAAAACUGUUUUUCUGAGUAAUUUUUUUUUAGGGCUUUGUUUUUCUGACUAUUUUUUUCUGUUUUUUUGACUAAUCUUUUUUCCACCUGUUUUUCUGACUAUUUUUUUUCUGUUUUCUGUUAUCGGGACACAUCGAACUCACGCGAGAACCUGCGAACUGCAAGUGACUCUUUGCGUCCUGUCUUUGAGUCAUAUAGACGGUAUUAGUUAUUAGUUUGUCGACAUUACGCAGGCACCACUUUGCGUUUGGUCAGGAGGAAAGCCCAUUCAGAUCUGCUCGAUACAGCAAUGUUUGUCCAGAAUCAGUUGGACAGAUAUGGUAUGCUCCAUGGAUACAAGAUGAUGCAUUUAAAAUGCAUUCACGCUGGCUACGUGGUGACUCAAGAGACGAUCAGAAGACUGAUGAAAAUACUGGACCCGCACAGUGUGCAACUGAGGCGCCGGAAUCGCGAGAACUGCAGGAAGUUGUUCACACUCACAGAAUUCGCCCAUGCAGAAAUGCUGCAUCUCCAGGUGGGCGCCCAGUGAUGAUGUACACCCUACCCGAACUUUUUGGAGCCAGCGAGUACUGGAAAGCGGUAUCUCGAGAAAAGAUAAGAGAUCUGCAGAGGAGAAUUCCUUCAGAGAGGACCGUACCCCUGUGAUGAUAGUGUUUGACAUUUGUUGUCUCACCAUGGCAGAAAACAGUCUUCCCAUUUUGGCAGAAAACAAGUCUUCAUCCACCCACCUCUCCAGAGGAACCCAUCGAGCUUUACAUGUUCUUACGUGCUUACAUACGAGCGCGGAUUUCAUGAUCAUAUCCUGCUCUACAGGAUCAAAUGACAGGAUCAUGUAACCCUCCAAAAAUGGUAGACCUUACAAUGAAUUUAACUGUAAAGGGUAUUAAAACAAGUCAAUUACUGUGAAUUUGCUCCAAAUGGACAUCUCCAUGUUGUGCCUCGUAUAUCUUCUUUCUAUUCCAGAAAAGCAAACGUCCAAUGUAUGCAUGAAAAAACAUGGGGAAUCUUGGGUGCAUUGUGUUCAUCAUUUAUAAAUAAAGAUUUCUAAUACA